rnacentral:rRNA from 1 species
CUACGGGUUGCUGCAGUGAGGAAUUUUGGACAAUGGGCGAAAGCCUGAUCCAGCCAUUCCGCGUGAGUGAUGAAGGCCUUCGGGUUGUAAAGCUCUUUCGGCCGGGAAGAAAUCGUGCAGGCUAAUAUCCUGCAUGGAUGACGGUACCGGAUCAAGAAGCACCGGCUAACUACGUGCCAGCAGCCGCGGUAAUACGUAGGGUGCGAGCGUUAAUCGGAAUUACUGGGCGUAAAGCGUGCGCAGGCGGAUGUUUAAGCCAGAUGUGAAAUCCCCGGGCUUAACCUGGGAAUGGCAUUUGGAACUGGACAUCUAGAGUGUGUCAGAGGGGGGUGGAAUUCCACGUGUAGCAGUGAAAUGCGUAGAGAUGUGGAGGAACACCGAUGGCGAAGGCAGCCCCCUGGGAUAACACUGACGCUCAUGCACGAAAGCGUGGGGAGCAAACAGGAUUAGAUACCCUGGUAGUC